GAGUUUGAUCCUGGCUCAGGAUGAACGCUAGCGACAGGCUUAACACAUGCAAGUCGAGGGGCAGCGGGGGAGGAAGCUUGCUUUCUCCUGCCGGCGACCGGCGCACGGGUGAGUAACACGUAUGCAACCUGGCCGUCACAGGUGGAUAACCGGAAGAAAUUCCGACUAAUACAGCAUAACACUCCUGAGGGACAUCCUUCGGGGGUCAAAGGAGGCGACUCCGGUGACGGAUGGGCAUGCGGCGCAUUAGGUAGUUGGUAGGGUAACGGCCUACCAAGCCGACGAUGCGUAGGGGUUCUGAGAGGAAGGUCCCCCACAUUGGAACUGGGACACGGUCCAAACUCCUACGGGAGGCAGCAGUGAGGAAUAUUGGUCAAUGGCCGGAAGGCUGAACCAGCCAAGUCGCGUGAGGGAAUAAGGCCCUAUGGGUCGUAAACCUCUUUUGUCAGGGAGCAAAGGCGUCCACGAGUGGACGAAAGGAGAGUACCUGAAGAAAAAGCAUCGGCUAACUCCGUGCCAGCAGCCGCGGUAAUACGGAGGAUGCGAGCGUUAUCCGGAUUUAUUGGGUUUAAAGGGUGCGUAGGCGGAGUGUCAAGUCAGCGGUAA
rnacentral:rRNA from 1 species